UUCUGGUUGAUUUCUGCCCAGUAGUCAUAUGCUUAUCUUACAGAUUAAGCCAUGCAAGUAUAAGUUCAUGCUCUCUAAUGAGCGAGACCGCGAACGGCUCAUUAAAUCGGACAUAACUUACUUGAUAAUGUCUAACGACGGUGGAUAACUGUUGUAAAUCUAGAGCUAAUACAUGCGAAAGCUUUUCGAAGCGCAAUUAUUAGAAAAGUUGACUCUGGAUAAAUUUGCUGAUCACUGGCAGUGCCGGUGACAUAUCAAUUAGAUGUCCGCCCCAUCAAUUGUUGACGGUAAGGUAGUGGCUUACCGUGGUUACAACGGGUAACGGGGAAUCAGGGUUCGAUUCCGGAGAGGGAGCAUGAGAAAUGGCUGCCAGAUCUAUGGAUUGCAGCAGGUGCGAAAAUUAUCCACUUUUGGCAUAAAGAGAUAGUGAUGAUAAAUAACGGAUCUGGGCAUUUGUUCAGAGAUCGUAAUGAAAUAAUCGUAAAAGCUUUAAUGAACGCAAUUGGAGGGCAAGUCUGGUGCCAGCAGCCGCGGCAAUUCCAGUUCCAAUAGUGUAUACUAAAGUUGCUGCAGUUGAAAAGCUCGUAGUUGGAUCUCGGCUUGCUAGCGCGCGAGGCGUGUGAGUAGGCCUUUGCUGUAGUUGAGUGCUACGGCUUUACCUUGAACAAAAUAGAGUGCUUAAGGCAAGCAUUCUGCUUGAAUAUCUCAGCAUGGAAUAAUAGAAAAAGACUUUUCUGUUGGUUUACCAGUAGUAAAAGUAAUGAUUAACAGAGACAGACGGGGGCAUUCGUAUCGCACCGCUAGAGGUGAAAUUCGUAGAUCGGUGCGGGACGAACUACAGCGAAAGCAUUUGCCAAGGAUGUUUUCAUUAAUCAAGAACGAAAGUUGGAGUAUCGAAGUCGAUUAGAUCUCGUCGUAGUUCCAACUAUAAACGAUGCCAACUAGCACUCCGCUAAUAAGUAUUAGUACGUUAGCGGGUUGCUUCCGGGAAACCAAAGUCUUUGGGCUCCGGGGGAAGUAUGGUUGCAAAGCUGAAACUUAAAGGAAUUGACGGAAGGGCACCACCAGGAGUGGAGCCUGCGGCUCAAUUUGACUCAACACAGAAAAACUCACCCGGGCCGAACACAGUAAGGAUUGACAGACUGAUAGCUUUUUCUUGAUACUGUGGGUAGUGGUGCAUGGCCGUUGUUGGUUGGUGGAAUGAUCUGUCUGGUUAAUUCCGAUAACGAACGAGACUCAGGCCUACUUACUAGUUGUUCGAUUGCUGGUCGAUCAACUUCUUAGAGGGAUCAGUGUUUAAAACACUUGAAAAUGAGCAAUAACAGGUCUGUGAUUGCCCUUAGACGUUCGGGGCUGCACGCGCGCUACAAUGGAGAAAGCAGUGGGUGUCUUGCUUGGCAAAGCAAGCUGAGCCUUAAAAUUUCUUCGUGACAGGGAUCGAGGCUUGUAAUUAUUCCUCGUGCACAAGGAAUUCCUAGUAAUCGCAGGUCAUUAGCCUGCAAUGAUUACGUCCCUGCCCUUUGUACACACCGCCCGUCGCUACUACCGAUGAAUGAUUUGGUGAGGUUGUUGGAUCGUAUCCCUGCGGGGGACGAGUAGACACCCGAGCCUACUCAUUUAAAGGAAGUAAAAGUCGUAACAAGGUUUCUGUAGGUGAACCUGCAGAAAGGA
rnacentral:rRNA from 1 species